rnacentral:rRNA from 1 species
CCCUUAGAUGUCCUGGGCCGCACGCGCGCUACACUGACAUGUUCAACAAGCCUCCUAGUUCGACAGGAUUUGGGAAAUCUUUGAACGCAUGUCGUGAUAGGGAUAGAUCAUUGCAAUUAUUGAUCUUGAACGAGGAAUUCCUAGUAAACGCGAGUCAUCAGCUCGCAUUGAUUACGUCCCUGCCCCUUGUACACACCGCCCGUCGCACCUACCGAUUGAAUGUUUCGGUGAAGAUUCCGGAUAGGACUUUUUUGAUUUAUUUCAAUUCUGUCUUAAAAGCUAUCUAAACCUCAACAUUUAGAGGAAGGUGAAGUCGUAACA